GACGAACGCUGGCGGCGUGCUUAACACAUGCAAGUCGAACGGAAAGGCCCUGCUUUUGUGGGGUGCUCGAGUGGCGAACGGGUGAGUAACACGUGAGUAACCUGCCCUUGACUUUGGGAUAACUUCAGGAAACUGGGGCUAAUACCGGAUAGGAGCUCCUGCUGCAUGGUGGGGGUUGGAAAGUUUCGGCGGUUGGGGAUGGACUCGCGGCUUAUCAGCUUGUUGGUGGGGUAGUGGCUUACCAAGGCUUUGACGGGUAGCCGGCCUGGGAGGGUGACCGGCCACAAUGGGACUGAGAGACGGCCCAGACGCCUACGGGAGGCAGAAGUGGGGAAUAUUGCACAAUGGGCGGAAGCCUGAUGCAGCAACGCCGCGUGCGGGAUGACGGCCUUCGGGUUGUAAACCGCUUUCGCCUGUGACGAAGCGUGAGUGACGGUAAUGGGUAAAGAAGCACCGGCUAACUACGUG
rnacentral:rRNA from 1 species